rnacentral:rRNA from 1 species
AGAGCGAACGCUGGCGGCAGGCCUAACACAUGCAAGUCGAGCGCUCGUAGCAAUACGAGAGUGGCAGACGGGAGAGUAACACGUGAGCAACCUGCCCUUAGCUCCGGGAUAGCUCCGGGAAACCGGAAUUAAUACCGGAUACGACCACGGCCGACAUCUGCUGUGGUGGAAAGGAUUCCGGCUAAGGAUGGGCUCGCGGCCUAUCAGCUAGUUGGUGGAGUAACGGCCCACCAAGGCGACGACGGGUA